AUGAUUAUACUGGCGAACGGGUGAGUAACGCGUAGGCAACCUGCCUUUGUGUAUGGGAUAACCCCGGGAAACCGGGGCUAAUACCGUAUAAAGCGACCGAUGCGCCUGCAUAGGUUGUUAAAGCUGCUUAAUUGUAGCGCACAGAGAUGGGCCUGCGUUCCAUUAGCUUGUUGGCGGGUUAAGAGCCCACCAAGGCGACGAUGGAUAGCUGAUCUGAGAGGGUGAUCAGCCACACUGGGACUGAGAUACGGCCCAGACUCCUACGGGAGGCAGCAGUGAGGAAUAUUGCGCAAUGGGCGAAAGCCUGACGCAGCAACGCCGCGUGGGGGAUGACGCACUAUGGUGUGUAAACCUCUGUAGGUAGGGAAGAACGGCAUGGUUUCGUAAGGGGUCAUGCAUGACGGUACCUAUAAAGUAAGCUCCGGCUAACUCCGUGCCAGCAGCCGCGGUAAUACGUAGGGGGCAAGCGUUAUCCGGAAUCACUGGGCGUAAAGGGUGCGUAGGCGGCCAAUCAAGUCUGGGGUGAAGGGCUACGGCUUAACCGUAGUAAGCCUUGGAAACUGGUUGGCUUGAGUGCAGGAGAGGAGAGUGGAAUUCCUAGUGUAGCGGUGAAAUGCGUAGAUAUUAGGAGGAACACCAGUGGCGAAGGCGACUCUCUGGACUGUAACUGACGCUGAGGCACGAAAGCGUGGGGAGCAAACAGGAUUAGAUACCCUGGUAGUCCACGCUGUAAACGAUGAGUGCUAGGUGUUGGAGCCGACAGGCUUCGGUGCCGCAGUUAACACAAUAAGUAUCCCACCUGG
rnacentral:rRNA from 1 species